rnacentral:rRNA from 1 species
CACGUAGGGCGCAAGCGUUGUCCGGAAUUAUUGGGCGUAAAGAGCUCGUAGGCGGUCUGUUGCGUCCGCUGUGAAAACUCGGGGCUUAACCCCGAGCCUGCAGUGGAUACGGGCAGACUAGAGGUGAGGUAGGGGGAAUGGAAUUCCCGGUGUAGCGGUGAAAUGCGCAGAUAUCGGGAGGAACACCGGUGGCGAAGGCG